rnacentral:ncRNA from 2 species
GUAUUAUCCGCCCCUGACGGUUCCCCUUCGUGGGAUCAAAAGGGAACACGGUGUGUUGGUGUUGUAAAAAGCCAGCACGCAAACCGUGGCUGCCCCCGCAACUGUAAGCGAUGAGCCGGUACUCACGAUAUGCCACUGGUCGAUGUGACUGACUGGGAAGGCGGAGUACACAGGCGAUGACACGCAAGCCAGGAGACCUGCCGUCAACUGCGUCACCUA